rnacentral:rRNA from 1 species
GCAAGUCGAGCGGCAGCACUUCGGGUGGCAAGCGGCGAACGGGUGAGUAUUAUUUAGCAACUUGCCCUCCAGACGGGAAUAGACACCGUAAUGGUGAUUAAUGCCCGAUAUGAGGAAACUUGAAAGGUGCGUUUGUACCGCUGGAGGAUAGGGCUAACGCCUAGUAGCGUGUUGGUAGGGUAAUAGCCUACCAAGGCGAUGAUAGGUAGCCGGCCUGAGAGGGGGAGC